GGACCGCACGGAUCGUGACGAGCCACUGCCUCGCCGAGUUCCAUCGCUAGGGUGGCGGCGAAGGGGCCCCGAGCCACGCCACGCCACGCCGGCUGCCGGCGAAUUCGCCGUUGGCGGUAGAUACUGGAAUCGCCCGCCAUCUAUCCUUAGAUGAGAGAGUGGCGCCUUUGCCUCAUGGGGGCGGCGAUCAAGCGCCGCGCCGCCAUUACUGGUGCGAGCUUUCGGCCAGGCUAACUAGGCAUUGGAUUAUUUGGUUGACUGCAGGCGAACGCUUGGAAUCACUUCUCAGACUUCUGUAUCUGAAUUUAUUUGGGCUACUGAACCUGUUUCUACAUGAAACUUGAAAAUACUAUUGAGAUUUUCGGGGUGUACAUCUGUAGAUGGUACAGGCAUUAAAAUAUUGAGCACAAGUGUAAUAUUAAGCACAGAUUGGGAAUUGCAAUUUAGCACAAUUGCUAAACUGCUUGACUUUACAUUGGUGAUCUACAUUACAUGUUGAACUGUUUGUACUA